UAACCUGCCCAAGAGAUCGGGAUAACACCUGGAAACAGAUGCUAAUACCGGAUAACAACAGAUGAUGCCUAUCAACUGUUUAAAAGAUGGUUCUGCUAUCACUCUUGGAUGGACCUGCGGUGCAUUAGCUAGUCGGUAGGGUAACGGCCUACCAAGGCGAUGAUGCAUAGCCGAGUUGAGAGACUGAUCGGCCACAUUGGGACUGAGACACGGCCCAAACUCCUACGGGAGGCAGCAGGC
rnacentral:rRNA from 1 species